rnacentral:lncRNA from 1 species
AUACCUGAAGGCAGAGGAGAGAACCUUUUGGCCUUGGGUCCAUAACUCAGUUUUGCAGUAGGGAAGACCAGAACAGGUAAAACCAAUUUAUAAUUUCUGAUAAUGAUACAUGGAUUUCUGUCCAAUAUCAAUGUUCUACUGAUUAAAAAAUCUUCCUGGAAUCCUGGGAAAUGAGUCCAAGCUUAUAGAUAGGAUGACUGAGUAAAUAAUACUAUUAUUAUUAUAUAAUAUUUUUAAUAAUAUAUUAUUAUGUAAUAAUUAUAUAAUUAUUAUUAUUAUUAGCAGUGACCAAGAAUGUCAAGAGAAAAAAGCAUGGGAAAAAAUAUUAUAAUGGCUAUAUGUUUAAUGUCAGAGGUAAAUAAUAAGAAAUCGACUUAAUUUUCUUAAAAAAAUCCAUUUUUGUAAAGUAACAAAUUACAAAAAAAAAAAAGAGAAGAAGUAGAAUCAAGACUUCAUUUUUUGAGUAAGAGACACCAGUGGGGUCAGAUUUGAGGACAUGAUGGGAAAAGUAGUAUUAAUAUAAAUUUUUUCAAAACAUCAGUAGGUGAAGUCGUGAGGGAAAUACGAUCAGCGUCCAAAUGUUCUACAUGAUUUAUCUGGUACCAGGAUUAACACUAAUACAUAUCUGCCUGUUGGAAUUACCAAGUAGAGUAUGGUAGUAGAAACAACAUUUGUCCCUAAUGUCCAACAUUUAGAACCAUUUUUAUAGAUCGAACCAAUCCUUACCAACGGGAUUUAUGGAGAAUUGUAGAAAAUUUAAUUAUUCUAUUAUAAUAGUAUGUACACUCUGCAAUUAGGAAUAUUGCUGUAGAUAUUGACUGAAAAUGCAUAGGCUGAUGGCUUUUAAUAAGAAUGGAAGACGAGAUACAAGAAGAAAACGGACUCCUUGUUGAGCUAUGGCUUCUCAAAAUGGCUUCUCACUUUUUUUUUAUACAUUUAUUUAUUUUUUGAGAGCAUAGAGAGACAGAGCACAAGUGGGGGAGGGGCAGAGAGAGGAGACACAGAAUCCAAAGCAGGCUCCAGGCUCUGAGCUGUCAGCACAGAGCCCGACACAGGGCUUGAACUCACAAACCUGAGAUCAUGACCUGAGCUGAAGUCGGACGCUUAACUGACUGAGCCACCCAGGUGCCCCUCACUUUUUUUUUUAAAGGCUGAGAGUGAAGUACUGAUUUACCAUUAUAUAAGGGGCAUAAUUUAUCUGCACUGAUUAAAAUUAUCAAGUAUGCAGUGACAGCUCUUUAUAUUCCAGGUAAAUGCUUCCUUUGUGCUUUUCAGCCAAGAAUUACUGACAUGAUGUGGGAAAAGCUGAAGAAGUCAGUAUUUGGGGUUUAUUUUUAUUCAGGAGGUGGCUUGAGAUGGAUUAAUGGCAAAUCACAAUAAAUUAUUUAUCAGAUAAUAA